GACGAACGCUGGCGGCGUGCUUAACACAUGCAGGUCGAACGGUAAGGCCCUUCGGGGUACACGAGUGGCGAACGGGUGAGUAACACGUGGGUGAUCUGCCCUGCACUUCGGGAUAAGCCUGGGAAACUGGGUCUAAUACCGGAUAGGACUCCGGACUGCAUGGUCUGGGGUGGAAAGCUUUUGCGGUGUGGGAUGGGCCCGCGGCCUAUCAGCUUGUUGGUGGGGUGAUGGCCUACCAAGGCGACGACGGGUAGCCGGCCUGAGAGGGUGACCGGCCACACUGGGACUGAGAUACGGCCCAGACUCCUACGGGAGGCAGCAGUGGGGAAUAUUGCACAAUGGGCGCAAGCCUGAUGCAGCGACGCCGCGUGAGGGAUGACGGCCUUCGGGUUGUAAACCUCUUUCAGCAUCGACGAAGCGAAAGUGACGGUAGGUGCAGAAGGAGGACCGGCCAACUACGUGCCAGCAGCCGCCGUAA
rnacentral:rRNA from 1 species